AAGAUUAAGUCCAACUUCCCGCUCAUCGACUCACAUAGAUGCUGCAUGCCAAAGAUUAAAAAAAAAAACGACUGCAAUAUCGAUUCAGCGGAAUGCGAUACUUCCGUAGGCCAAAUGAUGUCAACACACCGCUCAACCCACUGUCAAGCAGCAUACCGUCACAUAUUUAUUUAUUUAUCUUAUAUU